UAAUCAAAGCCCUCUCCCAACACCUCCUUGU
rnacentral:piRNA from 1 species